CUAAUUUACUGUGCACACCUGUCUUGUGUAUUUCCUUCUGUGUUUUCCCUUCAGGUUGCUUGGCAUUUGUAUUAUAUUACUUUGCAUUAUGGUUACAUGAAUGAGUUAUCCUCUCUUGUAUUCUCCAUGAGCGUACAGAUGGGCUGGAACCUGCUGUGAGAUGUCCCUCUAUGAGCUGCUUCUCCUGCUCAUUAGCAUUGUGCCACAACAGUAUAACUGCUCUGCGCCAAACUACUGUAGGCAUCACCUUUUGCUUUCUCUGGAAUCAAAAGCAAAUAAGUUUGCAUCUCCCAAUGGUGUGAGUGCACUGGUCAUCACUGAACACUUUUCAGGGCAAUCCUAAGCAGGACACUUUGGGCUGCUGAUCUGAAGGGUGGUAGGAUAUGCAGUGGUGUUUAUUUCUAAAAUGGUGUUUAUUGUAUUUCCUGCAAAACAUGCAAUUUAUUGUGUGAAAACAUGAAGAAAUCAGGAAGAUUGCCUCAUCACGUUGUCCAGGACUUUCAUUUCAUUUUCCGAUGGUGUAAGACUUAGA